rnacentral:rRNA from 1 species
AUGAACGCUAGCGACAGGCCUAACACAUGCAAGUCGAGGGGCAACGGGGCGUAGCAAUACGCUGCCGGCGACCGGCGGAUGGGUGAGUAACGCGUAUGCAACCUGCCUUCAGCAGGGGGAUAGCCCGUUGAAAGACGGAUUAAUACCCCAUAACACAGGGGCUCCGCAUGGAGAUUAUUGUUAAAGGGAUGCUUCCUUCGGGGGUAUUCCGGCUGAAGAUGGGCAUGCGUUCCAUUAGGUAGUUGGUUGAGGUAACGGCUCACCAAGCCUGCGAUGGAUAGGGGAACUGAGAGGUUGGUCCCCCACACUGGUACUGAGACACGGACCAGACUCCUACGGGAGGCAGCAGCGAGGAAUCUUGGUCAAUGGACGGAAGUCUGAACCAGCCAUGUCGCGUGAAGGAGGACGGCCCUAAGGGUUGUAAACUUCUUUUGCAGGGGAAUAAAGUAUUCCACGAGAUGGGAUAUUGCAAGUACGCUGCGAAUAAGGAUCGGCUAACUCCGUG